AUCCCUACGGGAGGCAGCAGUGGGGAAUAUUGCACAAUGGGGGAAACCCUGAUGCAGCAACGCCGCGUGAGUGAAGAAGUAUUUCGGUAUGUAAAGCUCUAUCAGCAGGGAAGAAGAAAGACGGUACCUGACUAAGAAGCCCCGGCUAACUACGUGCCAGCAGCCGCGGUAAUACGUAGGGGGCAAGCGUUAUCCGGAUUUACUGGGUGUAAAGGGAGCGUAGACGGCUGUGCAAGUCUGAAGUGAAAGCCCGUGG
rnacentral:rRNA from 1 species